AAUCCAUAGGUUAAUGAGGCGAACCGGGGGAACUGAAACAUCUAAGUACCCCGAGGAAAAGAAAUCAACCGAGAUUCCCCCAGUAGCGGCGAGCGAACGGGGAGGAGCCCAGAGCCUGAAUCAGCAUGUGUGUUAGUGGAAGCGUCUGGAAAGGCGCGCGAUACAGGGUGACAGCCCCGUACACAAAAGCGCAUGUGCUGUGAGCUCGAUGAGUAGGGCGGGACACGUGGUAUCCUGUCUGAAUAUGGGGGGACCAUCCUCCAAGGCUAAAUACUCCUGACUGACCGAUAGUGAACCAGUACCGUGAGGGAAAGGCGAAAAGAACCCCGGCGAGGGGAGUGAAAAAGAACCUGAAACCGUGUACGUACAAGCAGUGGGAGCACCCUUUGGGUGUGACUGCGUACCUUUUGUAUAAUGGGUCAGCGACUUAUAUUCUGUAGCAAGGUUAACCGAAUAGGGGAGCCGGAGGGAAACCGAGUCUUAACCGGGCGUUAAGUUGCAGGGUAUAGACCCGAAACCCGGUGAUCUAGCCAUGGGCAGGUUGAAGGUUGGGUAACACUAACUGGAGGACCGAACCGACUAAUGUUGAAAAAUUAGCGGAUGACCUGUGGCUGGGGGUGAAAGGCCAAUCAAACCGGGAGAUAGCUGGUUCUCCCCGAAAGCUAUUUAGGUAGCGCCUCGUGAAUUCAUCUCCGGGGGUAGAGCACUGUUUCGGCUAGGGGGCCAUCCCGGCUUACCAACCCGAUGCAAACUGCGAAUACCGGAGAAUGUUAUCACGGGAGACACACGGCGGGUGCUAACGUCCGUCGUGAAGAGGGAAACAACCCAGACCGCCAGCUAAGGUCCCAAAGUCAUGGUUAAGUGGGAAACGAUGUGGGAAGGCCCAGACAGCCAGGAUGUUGGCUUAGAAGCAGCCAUCAUUUAAAGAAAGCGUAAUAGCUCACUGGUCGAGUCGGCCUGCGCGGAAGAUGUAACGGGGCUAAACCAUGCACCGAAGCUGCGGCAGCGACACUGUGUGUUGUUGGGUAGGGGAGCGUUCUGUAAGCCUGUGAA
rnacentral:rRNA from 1 species